UCAUAACAGAGAGACAGGCCAUUUGCUGGCACCACCCUGUUUCCUCCAAGAAGACUGGACACUGAAGAAACUCCACCCACAAAGGUUGUAAUGCUAGCCACUGCCUUUCACAUCAACUGCUGCAAAGGACUCUUUGGACCAUGGACAAGAGAACAGUGGAAUUGACUUUCUCCAUGUAGCUUGGGCCAAGCUCCUACUCCACAGGUCCCAUGCUAUCAGCAGAAGGUGGGCAUCCUUAAAGCUUCUGACCUCAACAACUAUGGAGGGGGCUGUCCAUGUGGCCAGCUAGGAAGUCUCUGUUCUCUAAUCAUUAAUGCAGGUAAAAUUUCAUCCUUCUCAAGAACUCUGAUGUAGUUUGAUGGCUGGUAGGUUUCAGUGUAGCUCUUGUCAUUCCUUUGUUUAAACAAACGUUUUAAGGUAUAACAAAGUAACUUAAGGUAUACAAAUGCAAGUUAUCAGAUUUCUUUCUUUCUCAUUAUGCUACUGUUCAUAGUUUAACAUUAGUCAACAAAGUUCUGAUAAGCUACGAAUCCAACUCUGACAGAGUACUAAACACCAUACUAUACCACUAUACAAUCAUAACUGCAAGCUCAAAAUUAAGGUGCUUUUCAUUGGGCUAAAGAUAUCUGUCAGUUUUAAGAACAUUAAUGGUUUCAACCAAAUCAUUUCUGACAUGAGUAUACUGCUAAUAUGUCUAAAAUUUAUGUUUUCAUAAACUCAAAGGAGUCUUGCAAGUUCCAGGGAGCUGAAUUGAACCCACCCAAACAGGUCUUAAGAGGUGCCAUAGAGUUCCAUAGAGCCUGAACUGUGAUGAAACACCCAGCUACACCAGGACAUGGCAGCACCCCAGCUUUCUCAGGUCCCCCAAAGAUGGCCGAUGCCCCCAGGUUUACAAAGUACCCCCAAAGACUGGAGAAAGAGGAGAAGAAAGAGAGGAACAGGAAAAGGGAAAGAAGAGAAGGGGGAGGAGAAGGGGGAAAAGGAGAAGUCUCACUGUGAGGCCCAUGCUGACCUUGAACUCAUGCUCUCCCUGCCUUUUUCUCUUGAGUGCUGGGAUUACUGCUAUACCACCACACUGCAAAUUAGAUAUUUUGAUCAACCCUCUGCUUUAUCGUCUCUGCUCUGCCUCACCAAAGCUCUUUCCUUUGUGGUAAGGGUCAGAAGGGUUGCCUGUGUCUUUCUAUUAAAAUUCAU